rnacentral:rRNA from 1 species
GAUGAACGCUGGCGGCACGCUUAACACAUGCAAGUCGAACGGAGAAAGUAUUUCGGUAUUUUCUUAGUGGCGGACGGGUGAGUAACACGUGAGCAACCUACCUUAGAGUGGGGAAUAACACACCGAAAGGUGUGCUAAUACCGCAUAAAGUCACGGGGCGGCAUCGCCUUGUGACCAGAGGAGCAAUUCGCUUUAAGAUGGGCUCGCGUCCGAUUAGGCAGUUGGUGAGGUAACGGCUCACCAAACCUACGAUCGGUAGCCGGACUGAGAGGUUGGCCGGCCACAUUGGGACUGAGACACGGCCCAGGCUCCUACGGGAGGCAGCAGUGGGGGAUAUUAGGCAAUGGGGGAAACCCUGACCUAGCGAUGCCGCGUGAGGGAAGAAGGUCUUCGGAUUGUAAACCUCUGUCUUCGGGGAAGAUAGUGACGGUACCCGAGGAGGAAGCCCCGGCUAACUACGUGCCAGCCGCCGCCGUAACAC